ensembl:lncRNA
ACACACUGCUCAGGCUGGGUAUGAGGCAGGCUGGAAUGUUGCCUAGGAAGCAUUGCCAACAUUGUACUGUGCAGGAAGAAGGAGAACUGAAAUUCUCCAGGAAAUGUGGACUGACCCAGGUGAAGGUUAGAGCUUACAGUUUACUUUGGGAGAUCCCGAUUAACAGAAGAUUUCAGAAAAGGAAAGAAAGACACUACUGUGUUCAAGGGUCUAAAUGUUUUUCUACUUCUUCACAGAUAUUGCCAAGGGGCUUCCCUGGUGGUCAGUGGUAAAAAAUCUCCUGUGAUGCAACAGACAUGGGUUCGAUCCCUAAUCCAGGAAGAUCUCACAUGC